rnacentral:misc_RNA from 2 species
UGUGGGAGCGAGCUUGCUCGCGAUAGCGUCGGCACACUCGACAUCAUCAUUGAUUGAACCACCGCCAUCGCGAGCAAGCUCGCUCCCACA